AAUAAUAAUAAUAAUAAUAAAUCCAUUAACAGUAAUCACAAAAACUUCCAUCAUGGCUUCUUUGAUGCAAAUCUAAUAAGCUUCAUAUUCAUACAAAGUAACAGAACAGAGAAGAGAGCACCAGACAGAACACCACCUAAAUAUCCCAGUUACUGCAAUAAUUGCCAAACUAUUAGCUGGAACAUUAGCACACCUGUUGAUUAAUUUAUUGCCUGCAUGUUGCAGCCAACUGAAAGGCAAGUCUAUUCAUGCUUUUCCAAUCAGAGCGGGAAUUUUACAAGAAACUCAUCUCCUUACGUCUCUGAUAUCCAUGUAUGCUUUAUUGUCGAAUGUAAAUUUCUCUCUUUUACUAUUUGAAAUGAAUAAAAAGAGAGAUAUCUUUGUGGAAUGCCAUUUUUUUUUGUGCAUAUCCAAACAAAGUAUACUAAAAAAGCAAUUGCUUUCUUCUGUGAUCUACUUCUAAUGAGCUUGCAAACUACAUCACAGUACUAAGUUUCAUUUCAGCACAUGCUCAUCCUGAAACUUGCUCAUUUUGUAGUGGCAUAUGUAAUACGCUAAGGAUUUGACGAAGGUAUCAUUAAUUCUAUUCUUAUUAAUCAGCAGUUGCUCCCUUCCACUGAAUUUAGCUUUGUCCCGCAUGAGGCAAAUUUCAUUACGCAUGGUUUAGCAAAGCAAGGGAUUUCUAGGUUGACAGAUUUGGUUGCAUUUUUUGUAUUGUUUUAUGUCGUUAGUGUCCAUAUUACUUCUCAAUUUUGUAUUGUUAGCAGAGAAAUACUGGCGACAGUCGCCUAAAAAAUUAACUGUCCAACAAAAUUCUUCUCAUUGAUGAAAAAGUAUUUAUUAAAUUUUUAGAUAAAUUUUUACCUAUUAUCGAGAUAAUAAAAAAAUUAUUAUUUUUUUAUCAUCUAAUUAAUUACUUUUUUUGACCUCUAAUUUAUUCAAAUUUUUUUUUUUAAUUUGACCUUUCAAAUUUUAAUUUAAAUUAAAUUAAUUCUAAAGAAUAUUUUUUGAUAGCAAAAUAAUGAAACUCAAAAUGCAAAAACAUGAUUAGUAGAAAAUAAGUGUUACAGUUAA
rnacentral:misc_RNA from 1 species